rnacentral:rRNA from 1 species
ACGGGUGCGUAACGCGUGGGAAUCUGCCCUUGGGUUCGGAAUAACCGUUGGAAACGACGGCUAAUACCGGAUGAUGACGUUAAGUCCAAAGAUUUAUCGCCCGAGGAUGAGCCCGCGUGAGAUUAGGUAGUUGGUGGGGUAAAGGCCUACCAAGCCGACGAUCUCUAGCUGGUCUGAGAGGAUGAUCAGCCACACUGGGACUGAGACACGGCCCAGACUCCUACGGGAGGCAGCAGUGGGGAAUAUUAGACAAUGGGCGCAAGCCUGAUCCAGCAAUGCCGCGUGAGUGAUGAAGGCCUUAGGGUUGUAAAGCUCUUUUACCCGGGAUGAUAAUGACAGUACCGGGAGAAUAAGCCCCGGCUAACUCCGUGCCAGCAGCCGCGGUAAUACGGAGGGGGCUAGCGUUGUUCGGAAUUACUGGGCGUAAAGCGCACGUAGGCGGCUUUGUAAGUUAGGGGUGAAAGCCUGGAGCUCAACUCCAGAAUUGCCUUUAAGACUGCAUCGCUUGAAUCCGGGAGAGGUGAGUGGAAUUCCGAGUGUAGAGGUGAAAUUCGUAGA